UACGUAGGGAGCAAGCGUUGUUCGGAAUUACUGGGCGUAAAGGGCUCGUAGGCGGCCAACUAAGUCAUACGUGAAAUCCCUCGGCUUAACCGGGGAACUGCGUCUGAUACUGGAUGGCUAGAGUUUGGGAGAGGGAUGCGGAAUUCCAGGUGUAGCGGUGAAAUGCGUAGAUAUCUGGAGGAACACCGGUGGCGAAGGCGGCAUCCUGGACCAACACUGACGCUGAAAAGCGAAAGCCAGGGGAGCAAACGGG
rnacentral:rRNA from 1 species